GUAUUCUGGCAACAGGCUUGAAAAUGGCUCUCUGCAGUCCAUGGCGGGCACUUUCGCUUACAAAGCAAUAGAGAGCUGGGUCAGCAACGCAGUUCAGGCUGGUCAGCAACAAUGACAGCAGGGUGCGUGCUAACAGGAAGAUGUGGUAGGGGGAGAAGCAGACAAGGAAGAUGAGGAUAGUGCUGCUUACUAACUGCCUGAUCCUCGUCUUUUGAUCUGGCUGUGUCCCAGCACUCCGACCAACGGCACGAAGGAUACACAGGUAGCUGAUCUGAACAGACAUAAUGACAAUAUAAUGACAACAAACAAAUGAUCGUUGAUGUGGCCACAACCACUGGCAAUUAGAUUAUGAAUUAAAUGGUGGCCCAAAUUGAGCGAAAACAAAGUGUGGUACCAACUAGACCAAGAUCUCGACAAAGUGCUAGAAGCCACACUAGCAGGGACAGCUGAGCAGAAAGUCAAUACUCUCACAACAAUAACCUACAACCUGGCAAGGGAGCAUUUUAGAAUUGAGGAGAAGAAAGUCAACAUCAAGUCUGCAUACCAGCCAAGUAGAAGAGAAAGGGAAACUCAUCGUCUGAGGGAAGAAAUCAAGACUCUCACCAAGCUGUUCAAAAGAGCCCCUGUUGAUGAAAGGAAAGGCAUCAAGGAUCUGACUCCAGGAGCGCCUCUGUACUCUCCGAAGAGCAGAAAGCACUCGGAAGAAGAGGAAGGAUAGGGAGAACAAAAGAUCCCAGUUCACCAAAGACCCCUUCCAAUUCACCAGAACACUGCUGGGUGAAGCAAAAUCAGGAAGGCUGACCAGCCCCAGAAAAGAUAUGGAGGCGUUCUUGAGGGAGACCCACAAUGACACCUCCAGAAUCCAGGCCCUGGAUGCCAACCCAAGUAUCAACAGCACAAAGGCCCACGGAAAAAGAGCUCAACAGCAGUGAACCCUCCUGGGGGGGAAGUCCAAUCUUGGGGUGGUGAAGAAGGCCAGAACAGGAUCGCGAACUAUUGCUAAGACUCAUGUGGCUGCUGACUGUGUAUGAAGUCCCGAUGACAUGCUUUGAAGGAGUGGAGAGGAAGAUCAAUAAGUACCUCCAAAAGUGGUUGGGAAUCCCUCCAAGCUUCACUUUAGUAGGCCUCUACAUAAGAUCAGGGCAGCUCCUACUUCCUCUGUCAUCCGUGGUUGAGGAAAUCACCAUGGCACACAUCUUGUCCAGGUAUAAAACAGCACUCACUAAAGGAAGGUACAGGUGCGCCAUGAGAAGGUGCUCAUGACACUUGCUAACACCUUAGAGCAGGAGAGAAAAAAGAAACGCCAACUGAAAAACCACUGAAAAACAACAUCAAUUCAGUUUAUAAGGGAGGGGAAAAAGCUACCAAAGGCCCAAUCAUAGGAAAUGAAGGUCAACCUGGGAGGAAGACGGAAGCUCCCCCAGAUUGUCCAGACAACCCUGAGGCCGGAUAUGGUACUGUGGUCAGAAGAGGCAAAAAAAUAUCAUCCUCACUGAACUUACAGUCCCAUGGGAGGAGGGGUGUGAACAGGCCUUUGAAAGGAAGAGUGCCAAGUACCAAGACCUUCUUCUGCAUGACUGCAGGGGGAAGGGAUAGCAGGCAUGGCUGUUCCUGGCCGGGGUCGGCUGUAGAGGAUUCCCUGCUCAGUCAGUGUGGUGCUCUGUGAAUGCUCACAGCCAUUGCAAUGUCAGGAAUGGAGAGAAAGGCAGCAGCUCGCAGGAUGGGGGAGGCAGCAGAAAGAGCCUCUUGCUGGUUAUGGAGCAUCGGUAGGGUGUUGCGGAUAAGGGUCGUUCACCCAGUGAACGAUGGGUACUGCCUGAUGACAUCAAGUCCUCCUGGCCAAGGCUACAUUCACUUAAGGUGAAUGAAGGCGAGAAGCAUCUUACGUACUUGUAACUCAUUCUCACGAUUUCCCGAAACUCUUGAGGGUCAAUUGCUUUAAAGACAAGUGACCUAGAGAGGUUAGAGUGACAACACAAGCAGGAAAAACAUGCAUGCCUUUCAGUGGGGUGUUACCUAUAAGACUGUGAGCCUUUUUCUGUGCACACUAAAGGCUUAUUUCUUUUUUUCGUUUAGUUUAGUUUAGUUUAGUUUAGUUUAGUUUGGUCAUUUUCCAUUUUAUAAAACUACAACUACACUGGAAGAGAGACAAAUUAACUUAAUGCUUUCUAGCUUCACAAAAACAAAUCAAACGAACAAAACAGGACUGAAAAGGUGUAGGCUCAGGCCUUGGCUUAUUAAACCUACCAUUCAGCAUUAAUUAUAUUUUGUCAGCUGGCUUUAAAUCAUACAGAACAAUCAAAGAAAAUAAACGGCAACUAAGAAUAUAAAAGUUUUUAUAUACAAAAACCCCAAACUCUUACGUACACUGUGAUGCUCUUUAACUCUGUUUAUAUCUGUUAAUUAACGUGUGUAUGAAUAAUUUCACUCUUUUUAGAUAGAUAAUCCAUCUGCCUGACGCCUUGCCGGAUUUUUAUUUUAGUAUUGUUACUUUACUACAGAUGUCUCAUGUUUUGAUGCAUUGUGCUGACCAGCCCAGGACCUCUACAUCAAACUUUUUCCCUGUAGGAUUGUUAUACACCAGCCACUGGACAUCUGAUGCCAACAGUGGCCUUUAAUUGAGACCAGAAUGAGGUAUACCUGUGCAAUAACCAUGCUGUUUAAUCAGCAUCUUGAUAUGUCACACCAGUCGGGUGUAGUCACUAACACUGAUUUUAACAAAUAUGGGCUCAAAAGUCUAGAGAAAUAAACCUUUGAGUGCACAGAAAAACUCUUAGAUCGUUAUUUCGACUUGUGAAAAACUUAAAAACAUACAUUUACUGGAAGCCUGAUUUAUUAAAAGUCAGCAAUUCUCUAUGGA